rnacentral:rRNA from 1 species
UACAGAGGUCCCAAGCGUUGUUCGGAAUCACUGGGCGUAAAGGGUGCGUAGGCGGCGCGGUAAGUCGGGUGUGAAAUCUCGGAGCUUAACUCCGAAACUGCAUUCGAUACUGCCGUGCUUGAGGACUGGAGAGGAGACUGGAAUUUACGGUGUAGCGGUGAAAUGCGUAGAUAUCGUAAGGAAGACCAGUGGCGAAGGCGGGUCUCUGGACAGUUCCUGACGCUGAGGCACGAAGGUCAGGGGAGCAAACGGG